AGCGAACGCUGGCGGCAGGCCUAACACAUGCAAGUCGAACGAACUCUUCGGAGUUAGUGGCGGACGGGUGAGUAACACGUGGGAACGUGCCUUUUGGUUCGGAAUAACUCAGGGAAACUUGUGCUAAUACCGAAUGUGCCCUUCGGGGGAAAGAUUUAUCGCCAUUAGAGCGGCCCGCGUCUGAUUAGCUAGUUGGUGGGGUAACGGCUCACCAAGGCGACGAUCAGUAGCUGGUCUGAGAGGAUGACCAGCCACACUGGGACUGAGACACGGCCCAGACUCCUACGGGAGGCAGCAGUGGGGAAUCUUGCGCAAUGGGCGAAAGCCUGACACAGCCAUGCCGCGUGAAUGAUGAAGGUCUUAGGAUUGUAAAAUUCUUUCACCGGGGACGAUAAUGACGGUACCCGGAGAAGAAGCCCCGGCUAACUUCGUG
rnacentral:rRNA from 1 species